rnacentral:rRNA from 1 species
GACGAACGCUGGCGGCGUGCUUAACACAUGCAAGUCGAACGGUGAACCUCUUCGGAGGGGAUCAGUGGCGAACGGGUGAGUAACACGUGGGCAACCUGCCCCCGGCUCUGGGAUAACUCCAAGAAAUUGGGGCUAAUACCGGAUGUUCACCGCUUCCCGCAUGGGUGGUGGUGGAAAGGGUUUCCGGGUGGGGAUGGGCCCGCGGCCUAUCAGCUUGUUGGUGGGGUAGUGGCCUACCAAGGCGACGACGGGUAGCCGGCCUGAGAGGGUGACCGGCCACACUGGGACUGAGACACGGCCCAGACUCCUACGGGAGGCAGCAGUGGGGAAUAUUGCGCAAUGGGCGGAAGCCUGACGCAGCGACGCCGCGUGGGGGAUGACGGCCUUCGGGUUGUAAACCUCUUUCAGCAGGGACGAAGCGCAAGUGACGGUACCUGCAGAAGAAGCACCGGCCAACUACGUG